CUGUCCAAUAGUGUUACUGUUGAGAUUCAAAUCAUCAUUGUGGGGACGGCUCAAAGCAAGCUAAAAAGUUGUUUGACAGGAGAAAGGUAGUUUUGCCCGUUCAAUUGGUCCAUAUUUGGCCACUCUUUUAAAUUAUAAGAUGAUUAAAUGGAACAUAGGGCGACAAUUGCAGAAAAUGUGUGGGUACUUUGGUAUUCUUUAUAUCAUACCCUCAUAUAUACCACCAUUCAUUGCAAGGGCAUAUUGUUGCCUCAUUACAAAGGAUAGUACAGAUUCUGGAAAUUCUGGGGACAAGAGAAUCCUAAUUGUCCUUUGUGUGGGUAUACAUGUAUUGAAAUUUUACAUAUUUUCUGGGGAUAAGCAAAUGUAAUCAGCAUCAUUAGGACCUUCUGUUGCAUUAUUUCUGUUUAUUACUUCUAAAUGAAAGAAAAAAAAACACUCUCUUAUUAGCAUUAUAUUUUAUUUGUGCUGUCGGACAACUUGAAGUUGUUGUCUGACAGACGUAAAAAAGGUGUCCACGUUAAAUGGGUCUUUACUAUCUCAUUUGUAGUAAAUACAGAAACCUUGGUGGAGACUUUGAUACAUGAAUGGGAGACAAUCGCAAAGUUGUAUUGUUUAAUCUAUAUUCACACAAUAAGUGUUUGCACUACUUUUGUUGUGUCAGUUUACAGGAGUAGAGCUCCGACAUUACAUCGUUUCUACAUUGUAUAAAAGGAUUACUAUAGUGUUGAUCGUUGAUAGUAUAAACUAAGAGUUUAAAGACAUAAAUAAAGCUUGUACAGUGUAAAUAAAUGAAUAUAUUUAUAAUGGACUUAUAGUGUUUUAUACGGGCCAAGAAAAUUUUGAAACAAUCUCAUAGAUCUCAAGAACAGUACACUUACUCUCAUAUUGUCAAAAAUUCAUUGCAAGGCCCUAUGGUCAUCUCAUUACAUUGGAGAUAAUAGGUCCUACUAUAUCUUGGGAUCCAUGUGUUUACUGUAUUUGAAGUCUAAUUUUCUAAUUUGGACAGGCAACUAGAUACUACCGAACAUCAUUCUAUUCACUCUACGCCUCGAACAUACAGCUGUAGAUUAAACGAGGUUUACAAGUGCCCCUACAAUUCGCACGAAUAAGAUGUAUGGAUGUAGAAACUUAAAAAGCAUAUCUAACAAAAGCAAGUGUACGCUCCUGAUAGCUAUGUUCGGUACAGGUAAGGACCAAAAACAAUGUACGGGUGAACCACAAACAAUCAAACCAAAUGUUAGAAAAAAGUUCUACGACGUUUUGAUCAGCGGCUACAUGAGAACUGGUAGUACACUGACGGGUACUAUUCUAGGUGGGAGAAAUGACUCGUUCUAUAUAUAUGAGCCUUUCCGAAAGAGCUUUAUGUGGAAUUACUGGCAUGGAAACGACACUGUUUGCCGCUCUGAUCGUCUAGACUGCAGAACGGUAGACCCUAGGCAGGCUGUUGAGAGCAAUUUCCUUUCUAACAAGAACGACAAGAUGUCCGCUUGUUCGUUAGUUAUGGCAAUUCAGAUAUUAAGAAACAUCUAUGAUUGUCAGUUUAACGACUUUGAACGGACAGUUUUUCAGCGAAUUACUGCUAAACGUGGAGGUCCCAGCUGGAGUCAGGCGCGGUCUUGCAUAAAAAGCAAGGAGAAUUCUACAGUAUGUCUACAGAAGUAUAUCCCCCGAAAUUGUCAGAACGCUACACACCGUGUAACCAAAGUACUAAGGAUGUCAACCGAUCUGCUGGCAGAUAUACUUCUUGAACGUGAAAACCUGAAGGUCAUUCAUCUGUUCAGAGAUCCUAGGGCAAUCAUCAAUUCAAGAUUUCAGGCGAAAUGGUUUCCAAUAAAUACAGAAAAACAAGUUAUUGAGGACGCCAAAGCUCUGUGCAAGAAAAUGCUGUUUGACUUCAAAGAAGGGCAAAAGCUACUAAAACGUUUCCCUAAUAGAUUUAAGGUUGUUUACUAUGAAGAUUUAAGCAAAAAUACAUUCAAUAAAUCGAAAGAAUUAUUCAAAUAUUUGGGUAUGGAUUUAGAUGAACGUAAGUUUCCGAGGCUGUUAACUGUAUUUAGGGAUUCGAAGAAUCGAACUGAACGUAAGAAAAACCCAGCAUUCUGGUGGAGAAAAUCUUUAAAGUGGGAAAUUCUGCAGAAAAUAGAUCUUGUAUGUAAAGGUGUCUAUACAGAACUUGGAUAUAAAUUUUUGAAAAAAGUAGAAGAAUAUCAAAAUCUUUCAUUUUCAACUGUUGAUAUACCAAAAGAAUACUUAAUUGCAUAGGUUUAAGGACAUUUAUCCCGAGUGAUAAUUAUUUUGUACAUUAUCCAUGAAGGUGUGGCAAGAAGUCUGAAAGCAAAGUCAUAAGAAGUUGUUUGAUGAUGGAAGUAUCUGUGAUCAUUUAGUAUUUUCAGUGGUUCAGAGGAACAGAUUAUACUCAGUAAAAACUGAAUGUGAUACUUAUCUAUUUGUGAAUGAACGCGGACUUAAUGAGGAUAAAAUGUUAAUAAGAUGACACACCUGAUGCAGCUGCAAUUAUAUGACAGUAUCAGUGUGAUAUUUAACCAUGUAUCAUCGUUUAACAUUAUAAA